rnacentral:rRNA from 1 species
GAUGAACGCUGGCGGCGUGCCUAAUACAUGCAAGUAGAACGCUGAAGGAGGAGCUUGCUCUUCUGGAUGAGUUGCGAACGGGUGAGUAACGCGUAGGUAACCUGCCUGGUAGCGGGGGAUAACUAUUGGAAACGAUAGCUAAUACCGCAUGACAACAGUUAUUGCAUGAUAACUGUUUAAAAGGGGCAACUGCUCCACUACCAGAUGGACCUGCGUUGUAUUAGCUAGUUGGUGAGGUAACGGCUCAACAAGGCGACGAUACAUAGCCGACCUGAGAGGGGGAUCGGCCACACUGGGACUGAGACAAGGCCCAGACUCCUACGGGAGGCAGCAGUAGGGAAUCUUCGGCAAUGGACGGAAGUCUGACCGAGCAACGCCGCGUGAGUGAAGAAGGGUUUCGGAUCGUAAAGCUCUGUUGUAAGAGAAGAAAGAGUGUGAGAGUGGAAAGUUCACACUGUGACGGUAUCUUACCAGAAAGGGACGGCUAACUACGUG